GAUGAACGCUGGCGGCGUGCCUAAUACAUGCAAGUCGAGCGAAUGGAUUAAGAGCUUGCUCUUAUGAAGUUAGCGGCGGACGGGUGAGUAACACGUGGGUAACCUGCCCAUAAGACUGGGAUAACUCCGGGAAACCGGGGCUAAUACCGGAUAACAUUUUGAACCGCAUGGUUCGAAAUUGAAAGGCGGCUUCGGCUGUCACUUUUGGAUGGACCCGCGUCGCAUUAGCUAGUUGGUGAGUUAACGGCUCACCAAGGCAACGCUGCGUAGCCGACCUGAGAUGGUGAUCGGCCACACUGGGACUGAGACACGGGCCAGACUCCUACGGGAGGCAGCAGUAGGGAAUCUUCCGCAAUGGACGAAAGUCUGACGGAGCAACGCCGCGUGAGUGAUGAAGGCUUUCGGGUCGUAAAACUCUGUUGUUAGGGAAGAACAAGUGCUAGUUGAAUAAGCUGGCACCUUGACUGUACCUAACCAUAAAGCCACGGCUAACUACGUGCCAGCCGCCGCAGUAA
rnacentral:rRNA from 1 species